CCUCAGUGCAUUCCCGGCUGCCGACCGAAACGGUACCCGCACACCGACGCCAGCAAGAGACGCUCAGUACAACUUCGGACGCGGAGGCGCACGUAUCGCGCGACACAAAGACACGCGCGCAUUUUUACACGUACCGAUUUCAUCCCUUAUACAACAACAACAACAGAAAAAAAACAACAACGCAUAAACCGAUCCGCAUUCGCCAAGGAUUUAGGAUUAACAUGGAUUAUCAUUGUGAUUCGUAGUGCCCUAAUUCACGUGAUUACUUUUAGUGGGUGUUUCUUUUAUUAUUCUCAAUAUCAUUUACAAUGAUGAUUCCAUUCGCAACUUUACACGAACAGGAAUAAUAAUUAUACACUUUUUUUUGGUGAUUAAGCAACAGCAGUGCACAGUUCUAUUUUUUAUUAUUAUUAUUAUCAUCAUCUUUUUUUUUGGGAUUAAAUUAUAUCGAAACAAUGGAACUAUGUUUCUUUGAGUCGAAAUAGUCCGCAAAAGCUGAACUGGAGAACUAAAGAAAGGUUUCCGCGUUUUCCGACCGAUCCGGGCAUGCUUUGAAAUUUCUGCAAUUGCUAUUAUUCUUUGGUGAGUUUUUUUUAGUUUACCACCCUCCUUGAUUACUUACUACUCUUGGAUAUUAAUAUUUCAAUGCGAGUGCGAGGAGUGUGUUUGAUGCCAACA